CUGGUGGAUGCCUCCUGCGACGGUCUGGUCCCUGGUUGACAGCUGCGGUCGCCUCUUAAGAUGCUCCAGGGAUGCUCUGAGCUAAGGAUGCAGGUGCAGCCAGACUGGUCCUGACGCCAGGAGGACCAGGCAUCCUCCUGGUCCUUCAUCCUCCUGAUGAAGGAGGUAGGCCCCUCCUUCCUCCGAACGGCCUUAGGCAAAAGACUCCGCCUCUGUCCGAAAAGUUCCGGAAGGCAAGCUCCGCCCUUUUCCGGAGGAUCCCUGGGAGGGCAUCCCUUCCAUCGCCAAGAUUUCGAGAGAAUGAGACCCCACCUAUUUAGGGCUUGUGGGUCUAUAAGGUGAAAUCCUCAAGGCUUGAUGAAGGAGAAGUUUUCAGGUGCUGAGAACUGCUUAGGCGAAAGAAAGCGCACAGGAGAGAGAGCAAACCAACGGAUCUACAGGACAGAAACUAAACUGGAAGCUUCUAGAGACUUCCUUGGAAUUUGAAAGAAUUAGGAUGAUUCUCGGUUAGAGUCACUAUUGGUGGUUAUCUCCAUGAUUACAUCAAGUUCGCCAUUUUUGGCUGUGGAUACUUUCAUCCCGCUUCAAUUCUGUUUACAGACAGGAUCAGGUCAAGUAAAGUAUUCAAAUUUGUUGUAUUUGUUGGUGGUUCACCUGUAACAAGAGCGACAUGAAUGUAUUUUUCCAGCUUUGACAUUCUGUACUUCUAGAAAAGAGGAAAGAACAUGGUUUUAGGAGUUAUUCAUUCAAAACACAUGUAUUGAAUUUAUUGGCCUUUGUCUGUGUUCCAGGCACCUUCCUGGAAACCGGAUUAAUACAUUAGAACCUGGAGUCAGGAUAUCUGAUUCCAUCUGAUAGUUGUGCAUCUUCGUGAAAUCACCUACACAGCUGAGCCAAAAUUUUGUCUUGUUUAAACCAGGAGGUAUAAUAAUAGCCAUUGUCCCAUAGAAUUUAUUGUGAUGAUUGAAAAUAAUCACCUGUGAUAAGUGAAAGCAUUUUAUAAGCAGAGUAUUAUACAGAUAUUAAUAAUUACUGUGGGUUGAAUUAAAGACUUAUUGUUGUUCAA